UUUACUUAACAUUUUCGAGGAUGGAACGGUCGGUUGGGUCGUGAUUUGUGCAAAUAUGUUAUUUCGUUCAUAUUGCACCAGUCCCGGCCUGACUGCUCUUCCAGGACCACGCCGGGGUGUUGGAGGGA
rnacentral:pre_miRNA from 1 species